rnacentral:lncRNA from 1 species
CCCACUUCUGCGAAUGUCAAAGCAAAAUUAUUCUGGUAGAGAAAACAUGACUCCUCCCUACUGCUGAAUGUGGUUCAGAACUUUUCAUACUGAGAUUCAUGAUCUGAGUGUGGAGGUCCAAUUGUGUAUCAUGAGUACUAAGGUCCUUCUUAGCUGCCACUCCAACCCCAAUAUAAGAGGUUCUUAGCUGGGUGCAGUGGUUCACAUCUAUAAUGUCAGCACUUUGAGAGUCCAAGACAGGAGGAUCACUUGAGUCCGGGAGUUCAAGACCAGCCUAGGCAGCAUUGUGACACCCUAUGUCGAUUAAAAGAAAAUUUUUUUAUUAAAAAAAAAAAACUUAGUUAGCUUUUGAAUCUUAACUUAAGCUGAAAAAAAAGAGGUUCUCAACCCUAAAAGAGUCAUGUGACUUGAUCCCUAAAAGGCAUUUUCUUGGCGAGGCUUUAGAAAACGAUUUUAAGGGAAGAUACUUUGAC